rnacentral:rRNA from 1 species
AAUGAAUGUUGGCGGCGUGGAUUAGGCAUGCAAGUCGAGCGAACAGAGGGGGCUUGCCCCCGAAGUGAGCGGCGAAAGGGAGAGCAAUAUAUGGAUUAUCUGCCCUCAGGAUCGGGAUAGCUACGGGAAACUGUAGGUAAUACCGAAUAAUAUCUCCGGAUCAAAGGUGAGAUUCCGCCUGAGGAUGAGUUCAUAUCCUAUUAGCUUGUUGGCGGGGUAAUGGCCCACCAAGGCUAUGAUGGGUACGAGGCGUGAGAGCGUGUCCUCGAUCACUGGGACUGAGACACUGCCCAGACACCUACGGGUGGCUGCAGUCGAGAAUCUUCGGCAAUGGACGAAAGUCUGACCGAGCGACGCCGCGUGAGCGAUGAAGGUCUUCGGAUUGUAAAGCUCUGUAAGUUGGGAGGAAGUGUACGGGGGCAAUCCCCUGUACUUGACCUAUCUUCAAAGUAAGGACGGGCUAAGUUCGUGCCAGCCGCCGCGGUAAGAC